UACAGAGGAUGCAAGCGUUAUCCGGAAUGAUUGGGCGUAAAGCGUCUGUAGGUGGCUUUUUAAGUCCGCCGUCAAAUCCCAGGGCUCAACUCUGGACAGGCGGUGGAAACUACCAAGCUGGAGUACGGUAGGGGCAGAGGGAAUUUCCGGUGGAGCGGUGAAAUGCGUAGAGAUCAGCAGGAACACCCGUGGCGAAGGCGGCAUUCUGGACCAUAACUGACACUGAGAGACGAAAGCCAGGGGAGCAAACGGG
rnacentral:rRNA from 1 species